AAUGCCCUCCUUCCCUCUGGAAGGGGCCCCUGUUUCAUGCUAAAUCAUAGGCUGUAUCCAGGAGUUUUCUGGGAUGCUGCUGGCUGGUCUGAGCCAAAACCAUACCAAGGGCUGUGGUGGCAAUGUGGACAGUGGAGUUCCAGUUAUUGGGAACGCCCCCUGUGCUUAAGUCACUAGCCAGAAAGAAGAGGCUACAUCUGCUUUUCAGCACUCAGAAGCUUGAGGCCAAAUGCCGGUUCAUGCAUCAGUCCUGGCAUAGAGACCUUAUGCCAUGAUGCCAACUUCUCCUCGGGAUGUCAAUUUCAAAACAUGACCCAUGCAAAAAUGGGGGGAGAGAGAUCCUUAUUACUACUCUGAAUGCAACACGUUGUCUCAAAACCAUCUAUAGAGCUGCAGGCCCAGAGAUGUUCCCCUACCACAGAGGUUUACUUGUGUCUCCAGGACAUCAGCUUGCAUCUAAGCCCUGGACAAAUUCUAGUGUCCCAGCUAAAGGAGCAGAGCAAGACAAUCCAAAGGAAGCAGGAGAAGGUGAACGUGAGGACAGAAUAGCAAGCUGGUGGGUCUACUGAAGCCUUAACAAGUCUCUUUGCAGGAAAAAGUAUUCCUUCUGGCACCUUAUUUCUGCACCCCAAAAAGUGACUUCAUUCCUGUGAAACAAUGGAGAGUCUCCAAAAGAGAGGAAGAGGCAGAAAGUGAAGCAAUGAAGUAAAAAAAGUGUGAAAACAUCAGGAAGAGGAGGAAGGAGUCCUGAAGAUGGAUCAUGGAGGAAAGGGUGAAGGAGGGGAAAAGUGACAGGAAAGAUCAAGAAAAGAAGGGGAAAAGGGUCCUGGUGGCGAAUGCGGCUGCCUCCCCUGCAGAGAGGCUGAGCUUGGAGGGAGCAAGAAGCUCGGAUGCACCGGGCACCUGCAGGAGAAGGACUCAUCGCUCCGUGCUGGUACCGUUGUCGGCAGUGCUCUCGCCGACUGCAAGACUGGUGGAAGCAUCAAAGGGGGAGGAGGAGGGAGAAGGAAAGAUUGAUCUUGUGGGUGGAAAUUCAGGACUGCAAAGGUCAAACAGAAAGGACAAGGAUCCCCAGUAGCCAGCAUAGCUCAGCCACACACUGAUCUCAUCGUCAUUUUUGUGCCCUUGGAAUGUGUGCCUAAUGAUGAUCAAUGAAAAUAGAAGCCCUGUUGCAGCUGAGACUCAUGAGGUCCUGCUCACAGCUGGCACACGGAGGCAUGGCUGUAAAAAGAAGAUGCUGGGCAUUAGGACUGAUAGUCCCACCAGAUUCCUCCUCACCUUGGAAAACCCUUGUCUCCUCCCAGCAGGGGAGAUGGGCCUGCCUGUCCUGGUGUGGAUAGUGGUGUGCCAGCCAGAUGCUCUGCGAGCAGCACAUGUUUCUCCAUUUAUCUUACCUUGUCGUGGAAGCCAGGCUUACCCACCACACUCAGCACUGGCUCAGGCAGCAGAAGGGAGGAUGAGUAGGGCCAGGAAAGGGACUCAAAGUUAGUGCCUUGUUCUCAGCUCAGCAGUCUCUGAUUCAGCUAUGACACCGCUCUCCAGACAGAAGCCCUGCUCCUUGGUGGCACAUAUUUUCUGGAACAUGAUUUUUUGCAAAAAUCUAGGAUUGCUGUACAGUUCUGAAGAUGUGCCUUUCCCAGCUGAUAAGAAACAUCUUACAGCAUCUGAAGGUCUGAUAAAGCCACAACACAAGGCUUCUCUUUAGUCCUUUGACCCUUGUGUUCCCUGCCUCCAAAAUGGGUUGCAACUGAUUCUUUUCCAUAAGACUACUCUUCUCAGUGAGCUGCCAUCAUUGCAUCAUGUUGAUCCCUUUUCCUUUUGUUGCCUAUUUUACUUUUCUUUGUUUUUAUCCUUCUCCUGUCUUGUCUUCUAUUCAUUUCUCAGCAUCCUUUAAGUAUCAUCAUAAAAAUCUGGGGCUGAACUUCGUGAAGGGUUCUUUCCUUCCUAGUGGACAAUUUCAUUCAUUUUCCUCAUGUUCAGAUGAAAAUUCAGGAACUGGAAUUCUCCUCACUAUCAAAGGUGCCCAAACAGGUUAAACUAAACUCCUGUCUAGUGAAUUCCUGUUCACCAUGGUUUACCAUGUAAAGUUGAGCCCAAAAAUUGAAAAGAUUUUCUAGCAAAAGGAAAAUCUUAACAUUUCAGAAUGAAUCUCCACUUUCCACUUUAAACAGUGAAGUUAAAAUAUUUUACUUCAACCUUACUCAGUAAGAAUUUAAUAUGGUGUCACAGUGGCAAGUCUAGUUCUUGGGAUCAUCAUCUUAGGAUUCAUCUCUAUGCAAGACCACCUUCCCAGUGGAGAACAGACUUACACGUUUUCAAAUCUCAGCUUCCAUAAGGUCCUGCAACAGCAUUUAAGGAACAACACUGCUUUUUGCCUCCAUUUCCAAAAAAGUUUAUUUAGAGAAAAUCCUAGGGUUCAGUUCAAGGAUAAUAUAAACAAUUCCAAUGGGUGUUUUUUGACCAAAUAUUAUUAAGACCUUUGAAAACCUUUUGUAUUCAAUACUAGAAUUUUGUUGGGUAUAGAGUUCUGUUCCUUAAAGCUGGUAUUUUUGUGAAUUUUCCUCCCUUUCUUCCUCUCUUUUUCUCUUUCUGGACUGCUUGUUCUGACAUACAGCUAACCAAAGUGAAGUGUCUUUCUUUGAGAGAAUUCUCAUGCUUGUUAUUUAUCUUCACUCCCAUGCCUUUUAGCACCCUUGUUUCUCUCCAGAUAAUGUGAACCUCAAGGAAAGCAGAGAGAUGGAAGCAAGAGAGGCACGUGGGAGGACUAAUCCCAGAGGAUACUAUGAUCUGCUGAGUUUUCAGUUUGAAGUUCUGGAGCUGAAGGCUUGCAUUCCCUGGUGGACUAGAAAUAGCUGCAGAUAUGAAGCUUGACAUUAAUGCACUGUGGUUUAAAUCUUUGUAUGCUCACAAACCAGGAGUCAUCGUAGUUACAUGGCACAAUGAAAUGUGCAGGCCAAAACAAAUAAAUGCUCUUAGUCUGGAAAGGGAAUAGAAGCAUUUCAAAUCAUGCCUUUGAAGAAUAGUUCUUCCUGGUGCUUAUUUGAUUUUGUUAUACAUAUACACAGUAUUCAAGCUAAAUGCCUCUGCUAGCUCAAUUACUACAGUUUACUUACCAAGGCUCUGUUAAAUGCUUUCAAGCACAAGUCCCUUCUGUACUAUUAAAGAAGCUUUCCAUUUCUGCGAUACUGUAUUAAGCUUCACACUUCCACUCCCUAGUGGACUUUGUCUUGUAACUGGAUCCUAAUACAUCCUAUUAUAUGAACCUGAAGGACUGAGAAGUGCUGUGCUACAGAAAGACAUUUAGGAUCUGCUCUCCUAAAUCUCUCAAAGAAGAGAAUUUCAUGCCUUGCAUCAUUUUGCAAAUUUUCAAAAGUAUGCCAGAAGCCUGGCUAUUUUACCUAAGACCACAUUUUGCUUGUGUUCAUUGGAUUUCGGUUAAAAUGGUGACUGGGAUGAGGAGAAACACAGCCCGGCUCCUCUCAGGAGGCUCUCUGACCCAAUUACUGUGCAAGCUCUUGAACCUGUAGUCUCCAAGCGAUACCACAGGCAGCCAAGUGGGCAGCAAGUUGUAGCAGUGAGGGAAUAUCAUUAUUGACAGCAGUAGGAAACAGGAACUCCGAAUUCUUCUGCUGAGCCUGAGACAGAGAGCCCUCCCAAAAUACCCAUGGUGAGGUCUCCCUUGUGUGCAGAGGAAUGAAACUAUAUCCCCAACUGCCCAGCAAAUCUCUGCUGAAUUUCAUCUAGUGCCACAAAACCUGCUUCUCUGUUGGCUGGUGUCUCAGAAUGUUAGCUGUUUGCAAACAUGCUGCUACCCAUGUGUUUACUUGUGAUUAUCCCAAAGGCAUAUUCGCAUAUUCCACAGGCACUUCAUGUUUUAGGUUAAAAAGAAAAAUCAUAUGGAAAUUUAAGCAGGAAAAGAUACACUGUGCUGUGUUUAAAAACAAGGACUGGGCUGUGAUAUGACUUUAAUGACUAAUCACAACAGAGGAAAACCAAUAGACAUUAUAGGUGGAUUGCUCAACCCGUGCUUCCUAAAAUAAUAAUAAUUAAAAACAAAGAAAAAAGUUUUUCUAGGUGGGGACCCUCAAUAUUUGCUGAAGCCUGGCCCACCUCCUGUUUGAGAAGCUGCCAUGCAGGCACCUCCCCUUCCAUUCAGAACCAGGAAGAAUGUGUUUCUUCUCCUUGGCAAAUUAAUAAUAUCCCUGUGACAGCUCCAAUGAUCGCUUACACGGAGACGUCGUAUGCUGAGGGUAUUUGGUGUAUUGUUAACAUCCUUAAAUGUGAUUUAGCAUCUUGAAAUGAAGAGAAGCUGGAAUUACAGGACCAUCAGAUCUGCAUCACCUGUGUUUAACAUCUGUGAGCUCAGAAAUGGAGGGAGGAAAGAGAUUUUCAGAGACUGCCACUGCUAAGGAUCUGCCACAAGACUAAUGAGAGGCUGGGGCAGGACUGCUUGGAUGAAGUCUCUCUUUUCUGCAAGCAACUGAGUCCUACCUGUCGGUGCAGAGGUCCAGGGACAAAACAGAAAUCUUCUUGCAGAGUCCAGGCAGACAGCUGUGAGUUAGACCAGAAAGUCAUCCGCUCCACCUGGGGACAAGCAGAAAAGGGAGGAGGCACAACUACCCCACUGCUUUCAUGCAGCAAAUGAAGCCUGUAAGCAUCAGAAAGAGUAUUAUUAAAACUGCUCCAUCACUGGCUGUAAUGGGAGCGUCUGUAUUUUCUCCCUCGCCCGUAUCCCUGACAUGACAUAAUGCCUGCCCUCACCAAGACGCUAUAACACCGAGGUCCAAGGCUUUGAGGGGAAGCUUGCCAAGCCAACGUGCCCUAGUGCCUACCAGAGGUGCCACAACCUAAGGCUCUGCCUAUCCUUGUGGGAUCCGAGUUCUUCCAUUUCGAAUGCGUGACACCUAAAUACAAGACAUAAAUCAAUGUGGGCUGCAGGGCCCUCAACACUGCAGGAGACCACACACACAUUCCUAAAACUAGCAGCAGACAGAAGACGCUCAACCAUUUGCUGACCCUAAGACCUAAAGGAUCUUCAGCUGUCGAAAGCUCACGGUUUGGUUGCAGGUGUCACACCUGUCUGCUGAAUAAGCUCAGAUUUUCAACUUUCAGUGUCAUUUCAAAUUUCAGAAAAUAAGCGUGGAAAACAGCCUGAUGACAGCUUUGUGACAUCCACCCCUCUACCUCCGAGUGCCUUUUAUCCGACGGGAAAACAAAACAGUUAAGGAAGACUGGAAAAAUUAAUAUACAUGUUCGCCCUUUCUCCUCCAUCCUCUUCUCAACUACCUAUGUUUAUGAUUCAUUUAGGGCUUAAUCACAGACUGUUUUCUUGCCCUGUGUUGCAUGUGAGCCUUGUAUGUAAAUACAAGGAUGUGUAGUGGAUGGGAUAGGAGUGCUGACAGUGUGGGGCACAGGAAGGAAAAGUCUAUUGUAUGAAGACUGGAGGAGAUGCACAGCACUCACUCACCUCUGCUACAAACCCACCCAACACCUCAGGCAGAGCCACUGCUUUAGGGUGAGGAAGAGGCCAUGAUCCUUCAAUACACUUCAGUGCAUCUUUUGACAUUGCUUCGGCAAAAACAUGAGAAAUCAGUUGAACAAGGUCUGCACAUAUAGAUGAAACUUAGAUUCAUCUCACAAACUCCAUUCAUCUCCUACCUGGUUCCUGCAGGAUGCUGAAGCUCAGACAGCAGCCCCAUUAAAAUAAGGUUGGGUGCCUGUUACAUUAUAAGCAGCCUUGAUUAGUGACAAUGGUAUUUUUGUAUCAUCAGCAGCAAGUUCAAGGCAACUGCUGUUCACGUUAAAGUGAAUACAGAUUUGCAGCGGUGUUCACAGGCAGAGAAAGCCCACUGCUGCCUGUGCUUAAUUACAUUGUAUGAUGUCUUGUUCUUCAAGUCAUUUUGGAGAGUCCAGAACUAUUGAUUUCAUAAAUGUUACAUAAAUCUGACUGCCAUUGCUGCUAUUAGAUUUCACUGGCUGGUUCACUGUUGGACCUUGAGAUCUGUCUCUUCCCAGGUGCUGGUACAGGAAUAUAUGGGACUUUGAUGUAGUUUUGUAUGGCCAGCAGGUCAUCUUUAGGCUCAGGCUAGAGUCUGCAAGACAAUUAGGAUGGACAAGCGUAGCUACUCUCAGCACACCCAGAAGAAAACGAAGAGUCAAAACAAAGUCAAAACAAAGAGGGAUUAUGUUGUCUGAAAGAUGCUUGACUGAUUGAAGAGGUGCCCUGAAUUUCAUCAGAAGACUCAGCUGAAUAAACCAGGACAGCCAGCUGCCCCGUGCUUUGGGUGGCAGUCUACUGCAUUUCUGUAGAGUUAUUGUGACUGUGGUAUGGCAUUGUUACAUGUGCAGCUGACACGUGCAGAUUAGUCUAUGUAUGCACAGAAGGACCAGUGUGCAAUGGGUGGGACCUACUGCUUUUGAGUCUGACAGUAUUUUUUCUCUUGGCAAACGUGGUCACUGGCAAUCCUGAUCGGUUAGCAAAGCAGUUCUGCAAAAGGGAUGAGAAAAAGAGAAUGUGAAAUAUUAUUUUAAGCUGGUUCAUGAAGACUGAUAAAAAGGAAAGCUGUCUGUUUUAAUAUACUCUAUGUUCCACCAGUCACACCAACAUGUUAGAUGUAAGCCUGAGCUCCAGGGUCAACAGUAGUGUAGGACCUCCAUCAUCAUCUGCUGGUGUUUGCUCUUGCAAAAUCAGUGGCUAUGUACAGAUUUAUAACAAGAAAAGUACUGUGGGCUUUUUGAGCUCUGCUUCUGGUUUUAAGCACUUUUUUUGAUGAUUCUAAAGCUUUUCCUCAUAGCCCUCUGAGCUAAGAAACCUUCAAUUUUUUCAUAUGUGUCUGCUGUGGGCAAAACAGUCUCAGUUCAGGGAAUUUCACUGAAUUUGAUUUAUUUCCAAUUAACAUAAACCUUUAUUUACUGAUUUGUGUGUUGGAAAACAAAGAAGACUUAAAUAAUUAAACACUGAGGGAAGUCCCUUUCCUCCCUCUUCCCCAGACUCAGCUUCAGUCCAAUACUUCUCUCCCACCAGCUCUCCCCCACCCUGUUUUUACAGGAGGCUGGGUCAGUACGUGAUGGUUUCUUGCUGCCAUUCCUGGUUUCUUGCUCUUUUCUUCCCCUUCUCCUUCUUCCUCACUCAUUCCCUGCUCCAGCCUGGGUCCUCUGUGUGUCAGGGUCCCUUGGGGUGUCCCUGCUCCAGUGUUGGUCCCCCACAGUCACAGUUCCCCUGAGGUACUCCCAGCACGGAGCACCUCCCUCCAGGACCUGUCCCCAGCCCUGUCUCCAACACUGCCCCCUUCCACAUGUCCCCUGCUGUGUCUGCUGCUCCCCUUUGUCUCCUUUUGUGCAUCCUCAUACCUCAUAUCUCCUUGUAUCUCAUAUCUCCUCAUAUCUCCUAUCUCCUCAUAACCUCAUAUCUCACAUCUCCUCCUGUGCAUAUGCCACCCCACCUCCCAGACCCCUGCCAGAGAUGCCCUUGGCACUGCCCUUUUACAGGAACUGGAGAAGAGCCUCCUGCAUUCAGGUGAUCCUUGUGGGCAGGACUUUGGGAGGAGAAGAAAUCUCACUUUACAUGGUGCAAGGCCUAGGGUAAAUUCACAUAAGCUAGAGCAAGGAGCUCCAUUCCUGGUGAAAGAGGAGGGAAUUUCCACCUUGUAAAAUGUCUCAUCCAUUUGCUCCCUAAAAAGAAGUCAAAGAUGCAAAGUUGCAUUUUUUUUUUGUUGUUGUUAUUCUGGAGAAAUAUAAUGGGAAGAGUGUUAAGACAAAAGUCACCAGGAGCCCAGGUCUGCUCCUAGCUGUGCUACUGGCUUGCUAGAUCCAGCAUUUCUUACUUCAAAAAUGAUUUAUUUUUUUUUUCUCCUAGGCACACCAGACCGUGCCUGUUGCAAUGUGUUUGGUCUGGAAGCUGUGCAGAGCAGGGUCUGCCUCUCGCUGUGUGUGCAACACCCAGCACAACCGGGCCCUGGUCCCUGCCGAAGCCUCGAGGCACGACUGUAACACAAAUAAUAAAUAAUAAUAAUGUUAGCGAGAGAGCAUACAUAUUUAUAUGAAAAUGUACUGAUGCAAAUCACCUUUGAUUGACAGCUGUGCUCAGCACACACACGGUGAUGGGAUUACAUUAUAUCUGGCCAUAGCUUGAUACACACAAAGCACGGCUCAUAAAUUAAACUGGAGCUGAUCUCUGCCGAAGGCACCAGCAUCCUUACUCAUUGCACUCACAGGGUGUCACAGCAAGAGCUUCUCACUGACACAUGGCCCCGGAGCCACCCGGACUACAUGAAGAGCAUGUAGGAGGAGAGAUGGGACAGGAGCUCUCCUCUCCUGUGCAUCUGCAAGGCCUGGGAUUGCUCCUCCAUGUUCUGCCUGGGCCUAGCAUGCGGCACUGUGUGGAAGUCAGAAUCCCUUGUGUACUUCCAAGGAAAUCUGUGGGAGAGGGUGGAUGUGGACCCAGUGGCUUAAUCCCCUUCCCACCACUCUGUGGAGCUUGUGAGAGGAUGACGAGAGGACAGAGGCAUCUGAGCCUCGGACGGACAGCGUCCCUCCGCUGCCUGAAGCACCUCUGCCUCCGGGAAAGGAAGGGGAAUGAGGUCAAGUGACAAAGCAAAUGCACAGGCUGCCAUGAGUAAUUGGACGUGGGAGGGAUCCUGUCUGCCUGGGCGCGAGUCAGCUCUGACGUGAAGGCCUGAAAAGACACUUCGGAAAUGUCAGGGCCACAAGAGCCUCUUAGUGUGGCACUUGGCAGCACCAGCUCAACAACUGGAGGGGGCAUAAAAUUCCCCCACUCCCUUAGCAAAGAGGACGCUCCAACCAUCCCCCUCCCCUCCCUACUAUCCCUACCACCCACCAGAGACCAAAGCUGGCCCAGAUUCCCUCUUCUCCUAGCCACGAACCCACCACAGGGACAGGUCCUUGUCCUCUUAUGACUGAGGCUGCUCUCUCCAUUAUCUAUAUGAAGUGGAGAAGAUUGAACGUGGAGUGAUCUUUAGUUCCUCUCACUGCUCAGCCCUAUUGAGUUUUCCUCCGCUGUCAUCCUCUUACGUGACUGUGUCACGGUGGCCUCUGAGGCCUCUGAUAAACUUUGCUGAAGGAACUCCCAAUUCUCAUUCAUACAUAAAUGAGUAUUUAUACAAAUACAUAUAGACAUUGUACUCUCUCCUCUAAUAAAUUUUACUUUUGACAUUUGAGAAGUUAGCCUUUGCAGAGGGCCAAGUAUAUAUAUAUUAUUGCUUGGCACCAUCUUCCUCUGCUCAUACUGAGAGCAAUCAAACCAUGAUCACUGGUCCCUUUAGCUGCUCCCAGGGGCUUCCAGCUUCUCCUGCAACAGGUUUGAACAAGCAUCCUGUGAGUAUCACCUUUUAUUAACGCUAUCAGCCCUGUGAUCAUUUGGACAGGCACUUGCAAUUGCUUUUGUAUGUGCAUGUGCAGGUGCAGGGACACUUGCAAAUGCAAAAUCAACCCUUUCUGUAGCACUUUAGCACCUAUUUUUACUGUUAAUGUUGUCCAAAAGCUUAUGCAGGUGCAUACCUCUACUUUUCCCAGUGACAUUUCCGUGCACUGUUAUUAACUAGUCAUACACUAAUCAUCCUGUUAAGCAUGGAUCAUUGAAUAGUUCCUCGUGCCAAUUUGCAGUCCAGGAGCUUAUCAUUCUUUUAAGUUAUUUAUAAUUGUCCUGAAUGUUUCCCUCUCUUUAUUUAUGGUUCCUAGGCUCUUUCCUAUCAAGCCUGUGGGUAUCAGUGUAAUGAGUUCUUAAAUACAUUUGGUAAGUCUGUAGUUUUUGUUACUUUAUACUGAUUUCCACAUCUGUCCUUCUCAGCCUGAAUCCCUCUUUGACUUGAAACCCACCCUUCAGAGACAACCAGCAGCUUCCAGACCAGCCUUUCAUCAUUCGUUGUCCUUCCUAAUGAGAACGACAUUAGACUUUUACCUCAACCCGACUGCAAUGAUUUCACAGUAGAAAAUGAUCAUCUCCACACUUCAGAAGCACUGAUGAUGUUUGCUAUUGGCUGCAUAAAACCCCUAAAAUGCUUUCAAAUUAAAAUCCUUCCAUAAUAACUGUUUUUUUUUUUGUAUUUCCAUAUGCUACAGAGAGGAGCAGAAUCAUUAUUUUUCCAUCAGUUAAUUUAGAAGUGGCUGAAAGACCCCAACAGUAAUCCUCUGAAAGUUUCUGCAAGUAAACACGAGAAUUGGACUCUGCUCUGAAAAAUCAAGGGACUAAAAGACACAGUGGCAUCUUUUAUGCUGAGCAUCACCCCUGUGCCUUUACUCCAUUUUUCCUUAACCGUCUGUAACUAGACUGUUAAGCAUUUCAGCCAUGUGACUAAUCCCCGCAGGCUUCGCCAAUGGCAAUAAUAUCAAAUUUCUUCUCAUCAAUGGGAAUUUCCAUUUCCAGCUUGCUUGUUACCCCCAUGUCUAGGACUGCUGUAUAAGUAAUAGGAAAACCUCUUUUUCUUCACAACUUGAUCACAGCAGCUCAAUUUGUUUGCAACAUGCUGAGCUGGAGUUUGGAUUGCAUUUGCCUUCUUAGCACCUUCCCUUUGUGCCAUAACUCAAGCGACCGCCUGGCUGCUCCAGCUUGUUUCUGACAGAACGGAGUAGCUUUGAGAUGGAGGCCAUUUUGCUCAUCUGUGAUUGCAUAUAUAUAUAAAAGACUGAAAACGGCAUUACAAAACCUCCAGCAACUCGUCUACACGCUGCAGCCACUUAUUUUCCUGUGACACCAGAACACUUUUUCCUACUCACCAGCUGGUGAGAAGUGUCAAGCGACAACGCCAGCAGCUCGCACGAAGGAUUGCUGCCUUCAAACACCAAACUUCAUUGCUGUGAGUACAACCACGUCAUCCCUGCUGCUGCUGGUCCUUGAAUACACUCGUGCCUGGAGUGCCCCUUCGCCUCAUUUCAUUCCCUGGUAGCUGCUGGUAGGUGGGAGAAAGGGUGAGCAUCACCCUCCAAGUCGUCAGCGUCACAACAGAGGAACUGCCGAAUCAGAUGUCAUCUGGGAAAUUCUUCUUCAGCAGUAACACCUUUCGUGCCAAGGAAUCAUACAGACCGACUAGCACUCCUCCUCCGUGUUCACAGCCACUGUACCGAUCAAGCUGUUUGUCAUCUGUCAUGCUGACACCACGCUGGGACAGGAGUUCUGUCUCCCGAGCUGGUCAGAAAGUUACCGCGUCCCCUUUUCCUUUGGGGGAGGCUGAAAUAAUACAACAAAAUUCAAUGACCACAGGUGGGAGGGAGAAAGAGGCUUCUGGUGGUAGCCGUGGGCUACAAGUGGGUGAUUAUCAAAUGGAGACCAAUUAAUUUUAAAAAGCUCCAAUUUAAGAAAUCACUUGAACAUGUGGUUUUCUCUAAUAAUGUCUCUAAGAUGUUUCUUGUCUGGCAAAGGAUGUAAAUACAGGCAGCCUUAAGCAUGUGCUGAGGAACUCUGUGGCAGAGAUCUGAACUGCGUAAAAAAUGGUCGCCGAACUGUAGGGGAAAAUGACGAUAUAAAGCAUUUCUCCAGGGCUGCCUGGCACUAAUGACUUUAAUACAGCGAGUUGAACAAACUUAUGUGGCAGCAGUGACUGUGAAGGAGGACUUUUAACUUGCCUACAAUAACUACCUUGCGAGGAGCUGAGUGUUUCAGUCAGCGUGAUGAAUAGUGACUAGGAGCCUGUGGAAGGCCAGCAGGAGGAGGCAGUGUGGAAGGUAGAGCUGGAUGGGGCAGGGUGCAAGGCACGGCUGUAGGUGCUUAAUUCCUAAAGUUUGCAGCAAAAAGCUUGGCUGCACAGUGAAGGAUCUGCCAAACUGGGUCUUAGAAAAGCAGGAGAGAUACAGAUAAGAGCACAUACAUGAGUGCACACUUCCCAAAAAAUAUACAGGCUCGGGGAGGAGGCUGGCAAAGGACCAUGACUUCAGAUGAAUCCAUGGCAGAUCCAAGCCAUGCGGGAAGGUAAGAAAUAGUGCGACAAUAGAACAUGUGAGUCUGCUAACACUGCUUACACCACGGCUGUUCCUGUGCAUCAGCAGGCAGUGAUAGAAGACACAGGCAGAGUUACAGGAACCAGGACUUUGCAGAGCGGAUGGGGGGGCCAGCGCUGAAUGCUGAAGCUUGCUUGCUCUCUGUCUCUGCAUCCAUCCCCAGGCUGAUGUUCCAGCUCCGGUACGUCUCCUCCUGCAAUCAGUCUCAGUACUGUUCACCAGACUGAGCCAUACUUCCAAUUAUAUUUAUAGGCCUAUUAGUAAAACUUGUGAUCUAUUCAUAGACAAGCCAUGAACACAAGAAGAGAGUCAAACGCAGUCAAUAAAUUGCCUGCAAGAAGUAAACUGUGCCAUCAGCAAAAUUUUUGUAUCUGUGUUGUUCUCCUCUUUCUCUUAGAUCGUUAAUAAACAUAUUGAACACCCCUGGUCCUGAUGCUGAUCCCUGGAGCAUCUUGCUAUUAACCUCCUUUCAUGCAGAGAAUUGGACGCUUAUUCCUUUCCUUUGUUUCUUACCUCUUAUCUAGGUUUUAAUCCAUGUCAGGACUUUGCCUACCACCCUACGGGUAACAAAUUUCUUUAAUAGCUGCUUGUGAAAGACUGUAUCAGAAGCCUUUUGAAAAGUUUAAA